rnacentral:rRNA from 1 species
UACGUAGGGGGCAAGCGUUGUCCGGAAUUAUUGGGCGUAAAGAGCUCGUAGGCGGUUUGUUGCGUCGGCUGUGAAAUCCCGAGGCUCAACCUCGGGUCUGCAGUCGAUACGAGCAAACUAGAGUGUUGCAGGGGAGACUGGAAUUCCUGGUGUAGCGGUGAAAUGCGCAGAUAUCGGGAAGAACACCCGUGGCGAAGGCGGCUCUCUGGGACGGUACUGACGCUGAGACGCGAAAGCGUGGGGA